rnacentral:rRNA from 1 species
GUCCACGCCCUAAACGAUGUCGACUGGUUGUUGGGAGAGGCAACUUUCUUAGUAACGAAGCUAACGCGUGAAGUCGACCGCCUGGGGAGUACGGCCGCAAGGUUAAAACUCAAAGGAAUUGACGGGGACCCGCACAAGCGGUGGAUGAUGUGGAUCAAUUCGAUGCAACGCGAAAACCUUAACCUACCCUUGACAUGUGCGGAAGCCGGAUGAGAGUUCGGUGUGCCCGAAAGGGAGCCGCAACACAGGUGCUGCAUGGCUGUCGU